rnacentral:rRNA from 1 species
CUUGUACAUACCGCCCGUCACACCAUGGGAGCGGGUUCUGCCAGAAGUAGUUAGCCUAACCGCAAGGAGGGCGAUUACCACGGCAGGGUUCGUGACUGGGGUG